UUUCCACCUACGGGUGGCGGCAAUCGUGAAUAUUUCACAAUGGGCGAAAGCCUGAUGGAGCGACGACGCGUGGGGGAUGAAUGGCUUCGGCCCGUAAACUCCUUUCAUUUGCGAUAAAACGUUAUUAUUUAAAAGAUGAUGUCCUGAUAGUAGUGUUAGAGGAAGGAACGGCUAACUCUGUGCCAGCAGGCGCGGUAAUUCAGAGGUCUCAAGUGUUGUUUGGAUUCUUUGGGGGUAAAGGGUGGGUAGGUGGGGAGGUUAGUCGGAUGAGAAAAUUCGAAGGUUAACUUCGAAAAUGCAUUGGAAACUACCUUGCUUGAGGAUUGGAGGGGGGACUGGAAUACUUGGUGUAGCAGUGAAAUGUGUAGAUAUCAAGUGGAACACCAGUGGCGAAGGCGAGUCCCUGGACAAUACCUGACACUGAGGCACGAAAGCUAGGGGAGCAAACAGGAUUAGAUACCCUGGUAGUCCUAGCCGUAAACGGUGCAUGCUUGCUGUAAAAGGAAUCGACCCCUUUUGUGGCGGAGCCAACGC
rnacentral:rRNA from 1 species